UGGUGUAGUCAGUAGAGCGCUCGACUUGCAUUCGUGAGGCCAUCAGUUCGAGCCCGGCUUUUGC
rnacentral:tRNA from 14 species